UACGUAGGGGGCUAGCGUUGUCCGGAAUUAUUGGGCGUAAAGAGCUCGUAGGCGGUCUGUCGCGUCUGCUGUGAAAACUCAGGGCUUAACCCUGAGCUUGCAGUGGGUACGGGCAGACUAGAGUGCGGUAGGGGAGACUGGAAUUCCUGGUGUAGCGGUGAAAUGCGCAGAUAUCAGGAAGAACACCCGUGGCGAAGGCGGCUCUCUGGGACGGUACUGACGCUGAGACGCGAAAGCGUGGGGAGCGAACAGG
rnacentral:rRNA from 1 species